GCCGACUUCGCUCAGCAGGCAGAGCUACUGACCUGUAAUCAGCAGGUCACCCGUUCGAUGCCGGUAGUCGGCACCA
rnacentral:tRNA from 2 species